CGCGCGUAAAAGAUGUUCUGACGUAUAAACUUCGCCGGUAGGGAAACCAGUCGUGCGCUUUACUCAAACAGCACACUGAUUCACUGAUGAAACCUAUCGGCGGCUCCAGAAGCGCGCUAAAUGAAAAUGGCGGAUUUAUGCAGGCACAAUAGGUGAAACGGAAACGGUAAAGGAACGUCUACAGUGCUCAUGCCAGUUGCUAGAAUGAUGUGAGUAGGUACCAAAUCUCGAUACCAUGACGCCGAAAACCAAAUUAGCGUUCGACAACCAAUUCGAGAAUGCAAGAGGUCUGCUUCUAAGAUACCCAGAUCGCCUGAUUUGGAUGAAUUUAGAAACUGCGAGACAAACGCUAGAACAAUUUGAUAAACAAUCAAAAAAGACCGCGAAUGGUGUGUCAAAAAGAAAUGGGUUAAAAGCGAUAAAAUCAAAAAGCCAAAGUGGCAAGACUAUUUCAGUGGUGGACGUAAACCAAGCUGCGAUGAAGAAUCGACAAAAAUACGCGGGCGAUUCACAAACUGAACGAAUGAGAGUGAUCUUAGAACCCACACAACGUAUAAACGCAUUGAGUAACUCAAGCAUGUGGCCGACAUAUACAAACAAAAACGCUCGGCGGGCUUGAAGACACAGAAGUCAGAAGAGCGGGUUGUACAAACAUGUGCCAGUUCCGUGAUAACUUAGCAGACAGACUUUACUACGCGCCUUCUUAGCCGCAGCUAUAUCCACAAGAUGUCAGAAAUAAUCAGCAUGCUCGGUAAAUUAAGAGCUUGAAAAUGGUAUAUGAAGAACCCUGGAGAUAACCUGGCAGGCUGUCUUCGAAUCCCCUGGAAGUUAAAAAAGAAAUUCUAGCGCAUCCGGCCACAGUCGUUGGGGGAAGCGCUUGUUAAACGCCCACACUCCAUUGGGCCUGUCACGACGAAUCUGC